rnacentral:rRNA from 1 species
GUCUGUGGCCAUGCCACCCUGAACAAGCCCAAUGUCUGAUCUCGGAAGCUAAGCAGGGCCUGGCCUGGUUAGUACUUGAAUGGGAGACCACCUAGGAAGACCAGGUGCUGUAGACA